rnacentral:lncRNA from 1 species
CUUGCUUUUGUAGCUUAUCAUCUUGAUCAUUCAUCUAAAGCUGGUUGUUCAGAAGCUGCUUAUUUUUUUUUCUUUAGAGAAUCUAUUUUCUCUUGGAGCUGCUUCUCAGCCUCUCUGUUAUUUCACUUUUUUUGGCAGCCUUCUUCUCUGCUGCCUUCUUGGCCUCCUCGGCUGCUUUCUUAGCCUCUUCAAUUGCUUUCUUGAUCUCCUUCUCAGCCUUGAGCCUCUCUUCAAGAGACUUCUUAUUUUCGAAGAAUCAUGUCAGGUGCUUAUUGAGCAACCUAAAAAAUAUGGCCGACUAUAGAAAGAAGAGAGAAUAAUCGUGGUU